rnacentral:rRNA from 1 species
CGGCAGCACGGGAGCAAUCCUGGUGGCGAGUGGCGAACGGGUGAGUAAUACAUCGGAACGUGUCCUGUAGUGGGGGAUAGCCCGGCGAAAGCCGGAUUAAUACCGCAUACGCUCUACGGAGGAAAGGGGGGGAUCUUAGGACCUCCCGCUAGAGGGGCGGCCGAUGGCAGAUUAGCUAGUUGGUGGGGUAAAGGCCUACCAAGGCGACGAUCUGUAGCUGGUCUGAGAGGACGACCAGCCACACUGGGACUGAGACACGGCCCAGACUCCUACGGGAGGCAGCAGUGGGGAAUUUUGGACAAUGGGCGAAAGCCUGAUCCAGCAAUGCCGCGUGUGUGAAGAAGGCCUUCGGGUUGUAAAGCACUUUUGUCCGGAAAGAAAACGUCGUGGUUAAUACCCGUGGCGGAUGACGGUACCGGAAGAAUAAGCACCGGCUAACUACGUGCCAGCAGCCGCGGUAAUACGUAGGGUGCAAGCGUUAAUCGGAAUUACUGGGCGUAAAGCGUGCGCAGGCGGUCCGCUAAGACAGAUGUGAAAUCCCCGGGCUUAACCU